rfam:Oryza sativa (indica cultivar-group) chromosome 4, whole genome shotgun sequence.
GCCCCUAUAGCUCAGUGGUAGAGCGUCAGUCUUGUAAAGUGAAGGUCUGCAUGGGGGCA